AGUGAACGCUGGCGGUAGGCCUAACACAUGCAAGUCGAACGGCAGCACAGUAAGAGCUUGCUCUUACGGGUGGCGAGUGGCGGACGGGUGAGGAAUACAUCGGAAUCUACUUUUUCGUGGGGGAUAACGUAGGGAAACUUACGCUAAUACCGCAUACGACCUACGGGUGAAAGCAGGGGAUCUUCGGACCUUGCGCGAUUGAAUGAGCCGAUGUCGGAUUAGCUAGUUGGCGGGGUAAAGGCCCACCAAGGCGACGAUCCGUAGCUGGUCUGAGAGGAUGAUCAGGCACAAUGGAACUGAGACAAGGUCCCGACCUCUAAGGGAGGCAGCCGUUGGGAAUAUUUGACCAUGGGCGCAAGGCUGAUCCAGCCAUACCGGGUGGGUGAAGAAGGCCUUUCGGUUGUAAAGCCCCUUUGUUGGGAAAGAAAAGCCGCCGGUUAAUUCCCCGCUUUUCUGACGGUACCCAAAGAAUAAGCACCGGCUAACUUCGUG
rnacentral:rRNA from 1 species